AUUGAACGCUGGCGGCAGGCCUAACACAUGCAAGUCGAACGGUAACAGGAAGCAGCUUGCUGCUUCGCUGACGAGUGGCGGACGGGUGAGUAAUGUCUGGGAAGCUGCCUGAUGGAGGGGGAUAACUACUGGAAACGGUAGCUAAUACCGCAUAAUGUCGCAAGACCAAAGAGGGGGACCUUCGGGCCUCUUGCCAUCGGAUGUGCCCAGAUGGGAUUAGCUUGUUGGUGGGGUAACGGCUCACCAAGGCGACGAUCCCUAGCUGGUCUGAGAGGAUGACCAGCCACACUGGGACUGAGACACGGUCCAGACUCCUACGGGAGGCAGCAGUGUGGAAUAUUGCACAAUGGGCGCAAGCCUGAUGCAGCCAUGCCGCGUGUAUGAAGAAGGCCUUCGGGUUGUAAAGUACUUUCAGCGGGGAGGAAGGGAGUAAAGUUAAUACCUUUGCUCAUUGACGUUACCCGCAGAAGAAGCACCGGCUAACUCCGUG
rnacentral:rRNA from 1 species